rnacentral:rRNA from 1 species
UAAGGAAUAUUGCUCAAUGGGAGAAAUCCUGAAGCAGCAACGCCGCGUGGAGGAUGAAGGGUCUAUGACUUGUAAACUCCUGUAAAGAAGGAAAAAAUUCCCAUUUGAUGGGAGAUGAUGGUACUUCUGGAGUAAGCCCCGGCUAACUACGUGCCAGCAGCCGCGGUAAUACGUAGGGGGCAAGCGUUGUCCGGAUUUACUGGGUGUAAAGGUGCUCAGGCGGAUUUGUAAGUCAGAGGUGAAAUCUUACAGCUUAACUGUGGAACUGCCUUUGAUACUGCAAGCCUAGAGGAUGGAAGAGAGUGAUGGAAUAUCUGGUGUAGCAGUGAAAUGCGUAGAUAUCAGAUAGAACACCAAUGGCGAAGGCAGUCACUUGGUCCAUUACUGACGCUAAAGCACGAAAGCGUGGGUAGCAAACA